rnacentral:rRNA from 1 species
AACGCGAAGAACCUUACCGGGGCUUGACAUCCUGCGCUAUCUUAGGAGACUAAGUUUCCCAGCAAUGGGACGCAGAGACAGGUGCUGCAUGGCUGUCGUCAGCUCGUGCCGUGAGGUGUUGGGUUAAGUCCCGCAACGAGCGCAACCCUUGCCGUGUGUUGGUCCAAAAGAUCUCUCACGCGGGACCGCCGGUGACAAGCCGGAGGAAGGUGGGGAUGACGUCAAGUCAGCAUGGCCCUUACGUCCCGGGCUACACACGUGCUACAAUGGAACGGACAACGAGCUGCAAACCCGCGAGGGUAAGCUAAUCUCAUAAACCGUUUCUCAGUUCGGAUUGGAGGCUGCAACUCGCCUCCAUGAAGUCGGAAUCGCUAGUAACCGCAGAUCAGCUACGCUGCGGUGAAUACGUUCCCGGGCCUUGUA